GAAGUAAAAGUCGUAACAAGGUUUCCGUAGGUGAACCUGCGGAAGGAUCUUACUGAAUUUUGAAAGGGGUUGUAGCUGGCCUCUUUAUCGGAGGCAUGGCACACCCUGUUCAUCCAUUCUACACCUGUGCACACCCUGUAGGUUGGUUUGAAUGGGUCUUCUUAUGAGGACUUGUUGAGACCUUCCUAUGUUUUUAACACACACUUUGUCAGUUAAAGAAUGUAAUCGCGUUUAACGCAUUUUAUCAACUUUCAGCAACGGAUCUCUUGGCUCUCGCAUCGAUGAAGAACGCAGGAAAUGCGAUAAGUAAUGUGAAUUGCAGAAUUCAGUGAAUCAUCGAAUCUUGAACGCACCUUGCGCUCCUUGGUAUUCCGAGGAGCAUGCCUGUUUGAUGUCAUGGAAUUCUCAACCCUCUCAUCUUUGUUGUGAGUUGGGCUUGGAUUGGAGGCUUUGCUGGUUUUUGUAAAUCAGCUCCUCUUGAAUGCAUUAGUUAAACCUCUGCGGAACGGCUGUUCGGUGUGAUAAUUGUCUACGCCGUGGUCGUGAAGCUUUGUUACACUUUGUUGUGUAAGGGGGUGUAGCUUCCAACGUCUCUUUAUUGGGACAAUAUUUGACCUCUGACCUCAAAUCAGGUAGGUUACCCGCUGAACUUAAGCA
rnacentral:rRNA from 1 species